UGUUUUCGGUCAUUUCAAUGUGUUAACACUCACUGACUCACAUCGGAAAGACCAAUAAAUAUCCAUGAAAAUGGGACAUGGCUACGGUGCAGAAGCUGCAAGUAACAGCUUCGAACCUUCUCAUUUCCAUAACCUUGCGUUGGGACCUCUUUCUCUCUCCUCUAGCACCCGUGAAAGUUUCUCAUUGGCUGCUGUUACUUACAGAAGCCGUAACAUAAAUGAUUCCGAACUGCCCAUUUCGUGCCCCUCUAACAGAGUCGGGAGAAUUGUGUGGGAUGUACCCUAUUCCCUUCAAAAUACCCAAUAUAUACCUAAAAUUAUAACACUCUUAAAUUUUACACAUAUAUACUCUAAAAAAUUAGAGAAAGUAUAAAAAUAACCACAACUAAAUCCUCAUAAAACUAAACCCAACUCCUUAAAAUCGGGUAAAUAGUCGAGAAUACUCGACUUCAAUCAAAUCAUACAUAAUUAAUAAUUCAGCAUAAAUUCUUGACUUUUUCAUGUUAGUCGGAUAAAUAGUCGAGAAUACUCGACUUCAAUUGAAAAAAAAAAUUAUCUAAAAAAUUCUCGAUUUUUUUAAGUAAGUUGAGUAAAAAGUCGAGAAUACCCUACUUUAAUUUAACUCUACCCAAUAUUCAUUCAGCAAAAAUUCUUGACUUUUCAUUGAAGUUCGGUAAUUGGUUGAGAAUACUCGACUUAAAUUGAAAUGAAAAUUUUUUUUUUAAUUAAGUCAGGUAAAAGGUCGAGUAUACUCAAUUUUGGUUGUGUUAUUAUGUAGAAGUCAUGAGAGAGGAAGUAAAAGUAAAUAAAUGAUUUUUUUAGGUUAUUUUUGAUUUUUUACACUUUUAGGAGGUAUAUGUAUGUAAUGGGGUAUAGAUUUGGCAUUUAAAGACAAAUAGGGUAUAUUUAAAUAAAAAACCCAUAACAGUCAAACGUUCACAUUAGGGACGUGGUUCACAUCCCCUACAUUCAUCUGGAUCUAAUUAUAAAUACAAACCCCACGAAGCAAGAGUCAUUUCAUUUCAGUUGCGAGAGCAGAGCUUAGAGAAAAAAAAAAAAGAAAAUGGCAAAAAGCGACGUGAAGGUUUUGGGUGCGUGGCCAAGCCCAUUUGUGAUGAGGGCAAGAAUCGCACUUAAGAUCAAGUCUGUGGAGUAUGAGUUUCUGGAGGAGAAUUUGGGAUCCAAAAGCGAGCUUCUGCUUAAAUCAAACCCUGUUCACAAGAAAAUCCCAGUUCUGAUUCACAAUGAUAAGCCUGUUUGCGAAUCUCUCAUCAUUGUCGAGUACGUGGAUGAGGCUUGGUCCUCUUCAGGUCCCUCUAUUCUUCCUUCUGAUCCUUAUGACCGUGCCGUUGCUCGUUUCUGGGCCGCUUAUGUUGAUGAGAAGGUACAGUUUCCUUUCUUUGUUUUGUAGAAGAUGUUUUAAGUCAAUUCUUUUUAUUCGAAUUAUGUGCAUCUAAAAUUUUUUAAAACUUUUUCAGUUUUGAAAACUGUUUUCGGAAAUUAAUAGUCUCUCUUGUUAAAUCAAAGAGGUAAAGUGUGUGAUUGGAAUUAUUUCCGGUGGAAAAAUGAACUUGAAAAGAAAACUAAAGAAAGAUUAAGAAAGCAGAGCCCAAGAGGAAAACAAUCAAUAGAAUCUGGAAGUUUGAUUUUUCAUAAAACGGGCUUUCUAGAGACCCCCAAUAACCAAUUCUCGCAUUAAUUGCUAAGGAGCACUUUCAAGUCUCUCGACUCCCGAGCCUCCUAAGCCUUGUCCUUAAAACUAUCGUUCGAUAAAUCGAACGCUAGACGAACAGAAAGCAGGUAAGCCCUUAAAAGAAAAGCUUUGAAGGUAACUGUGCCAAGUAUGGGCUCACGCUCUUCGCAGGCUCCGGCCUCUUUAGGGUUUGGGCAUACUAAGUAUGUAGCAGAGCCCAAAAGGAAAACGAUCAAUAGAAUCUAGAAGUAAAUCUGGAGAAGUGACAUAUACUCACAUAUCUAAGGAAAUAAAUAUAUAUGAAUCUUAAGAGAUGAUACUGAUAGAGAUUGGAGAGAUAGCAAGAACGAAUCUUUAACUUGACAUAAAGCAUAUAAGAAUCAAUUGGUAGUGAUUGAAAUCUCGCCUUGAUUGAUCAAAUUAUGAUAUAUCUAUUAUGAUUUGCAGUUGUUCCCUGCCUUGAAAAGCAUUGGUAGUGGAGAUGGAGCGGAAGCUAAGAAAGCUGCGAUUGAGCAAUUGAUUGAAGGCUUGGUUUUGCUGGAGGAUGCUUUUGUUAAGUGUAGCAAAGGGAAGCCUUUCUUUGGUGGAAGCCAAAUUGGGUUUCUUGACAUUGCAUUUGGUUGCUACUUGGGAUGGGUGAGAGUGACAGAGAAAAUGAAUGAGGUGAAGCUCCUUGAUGAAGUCAAAACUCCUGGACUGUUCAAAUGGGCUGAGAGAUUCUGUGCUGAUGCCGCUGUCAAAGAUGUUAUGCCUGAGACUGAUAAGCUUGCAGAGUUUGCUAAGGUUCUUGCCAAACUCAGAGCUUCUGGCAAAUGGAAUUAAGAAGCUUAAUUCUGUGCCUGGAGGGGCACAAAAAAAAAGAAAAAGAAAAAAAAAAGAGUUGUUUCCAGAAAUAAAUUCGAAUAAGGAUUAAGUUUUGUUUUUGGUUUAGUUUGGAACGGUAAAGCCUGUAUCAUUUGGGUUCUGUUAUCGGGCUAGGCAGCAGCCUCUCUCGUGUCUCCUAAAAUUGAAAUUCCUUUCAGUCAUCUGCUGCAAAGAGCUCAUUAUCUAUACUCAUGUAUACCAAGUGAAGGUAUAAAGGUUACUGUGUUGUUUUUCUCCGCAGAAUUUUUUCCCACAUACGGUACACAUCUGGGCUACGUGCCAUAUUCGUUGUUAUAAAAGUUAUCGUAUUAUGUAACGGUGGAAUUCCCGCAUGGCAUUUUGCAAGAAUUAACGAUUUUCGAACUCAAUAAUCUUAAAUAUUUGAGUUGCAAUCUGAAUUCUGUUGCACUUAUCAAUUGAAUAGUAUAAUAGAGGAAUAAAUAAUUUUGUAUUUAUCAUUCCAUAGAUGAGUAAUACAUGGUAUCAAAAUUUUAAGUUAGAAUUUAAAUAUUAAAAUCUGUUUGGGCAUAUGGCUAAAAUCAAUUCACAAUCUUUAUCAUCCUAAAAUGAGACUUUGGCGACGAGCACACUGCUGGACAAAGUAGUUAUUAAUAAUCAUAUCAAAACUGAUUAAAAUGACCAUCAAACAUGUGUUGAUUGAAUAAAUUGUGUGCAGAAUUUGAUAUUCUGUUAUUCUCUUUCCCAGAAAUCAAUUCUUAACACCACCACCACACCAGAACUGUAUACAUUUCACUAGUUUCAGUCAACCGAAACGGCCGGUAAAAUACGGUCUGUAUACCCGGCCCUACCCUGAGGCCCAACUCGUCCUGACUUCGUCGGACCCUAACCAAAGUUAUUAAACAAGAAGCUGCGCUAAGCCACCGAGAGUCUGAGACUGCAGCGCCAGUCCCCAUUUAAACGGGAAAAACAAAAAAAAGAGAGAAAAAAUGGCAACACUGAAGAAAAUCCCUUUGGUUCUGAUGGGAUGCGGAGGCGUCGGACGCCAGCUCCUCCAGCACAUUGUUUCCUGCCGAUCACUUCAUGCCAAUCUGGUACUCCUUCUCUACUUUCCAAAGUUUAUUAGCGCCCCCAAAUUAACUAAUUAAUUAAUUAUUUAGUAGCUAUAUAUUCAUUAAUUAUUACAUGUCGGAGAUGUAUUCUUUUGAUAUGAAUGUGCCUGUCUUCUAAUAAACUCGUCGAUGAUUCUGUUUCUAUAGAAGACUGGUAAAUUUGUUUUAACUGUAACACUUCAUGAUUGAUGAUCGGUCGGCACGGCAGGGGGUGCAUUUGCGAGUGGUAGGAGUAAGUGACAGCAAGUCAUUGGUUGUUGCGUCGGAUGUUUUCACAAAGGAGUUCAACGAUAACCUCUUAUCAGAAAUUUGUCGCCUCAAGGCGGACCACUCUUCUCUCUCAACGCUUAUUAGUGGUUUCGGAGGUAAUCCUCUUGUAUUGUAUUGUUGAGGAUUUAAUAGAUUACUUAUUCUGUUUAUUUCUCAUGCUUUUGCUUUUCUUUUGAUUCUUUAUCAAAGGUGAAUGCCAAGUGUUUCUCGAUUCUGAUUUGAGAGGAAAGUUAUCAGAAAUUGCAUCUCUUCUGGGUAUAUCAACAGGUUCGUCUUCGUGACAAAUUACUAUCUUACCGGCCUUUAUACUUCUUUUGAAACACUGAUUAGUUUUUCAAUCAAUUGAAGUUUCAUGUUUGUUUUUAGAGUUUAGUGAUUCUUAUCAUUCAUUCACCUCAAGCAAGGUCAUUUCAAGCUUGGUCUUUUGCUUAAUCUUGCAACAGGUUUGGCCUUUGUUGAUUGCUCUGCCAGUUCUGAGACUGUUGAAAUAUUAACUCAAGCAGUUGAUUUGGGUUGUUGCAUUGUCUUGGCAAACAAGAAGCCUCUUAUGUCUACAAUGGUAAUAACUCUACAAGGCUUCCUUAUUUGGUUGUAACUGGACUUAGUUGGACAUGUAUAGUCAUCCUAUGGCCAUUCCAUGAUCAACCACUAACAGACUUAAUUCUGGAGAUGGCGACACUUCCUGCUGUCAUUAAAUGCUGCAAUGCCAUUUCUUUUGUGGCCAAUUCGAACAUUCUAUAUUUUUACCAUUUAAGAUGAAUUACGUUUGGUGUUUAAUUCUUUUAAAAUUAAAAAUGACAAAUUUUCAUUGAGCAAUUUAGUGCAAUAUUAAUGUUUUUGAAUUUUUUUACCAACCUCAUGCUAUUCUGUAAUGUAGGAGGAUUAUGACAAAUUGGUCUCACAUCCACGCUGUAUUCGGUAUGAGUCAACUGUAAGUGAAGUUUCCUGCUUUUGUCAUAUAAAAGGAAAUCGUGGGUGAAGUGUCUCAUUUGAUGUCUGUUUCUCCAUAGGUUGGUGCUGGCCUUCCUGUCAUAGCAUCCUUAAAUCGUAUUCUUUCUUCUGGAGACCCUGUCCAUCGUAUUGUUGGAAGUCUGAGUGGUAUUGGUUUUCUUUUCUUUUCUUUUCUUUUUUUUUUUGGGUUAGACAUUUAUUCUUCCUUCACAUAUGAAGUUCAUGCUUUUCCUGUAUCUGCUUGUAUUUUUUUGCAACCAUAUUUCAUAUAUGAAUAUUGGCUGUCAUUUGCAUAAUAUAUUUUGUAUUAGGUACAUUGGGGUAUGUAAUGAGCAAGGUUGAAGAUGGGAAGCCACUUAGUCAAGUUGUUAAAGCUGCUAAAAGCCUGGGAUACACUGAACCAGGUUUAAUUGUGAUUUUAAAUUUCUAUAUUGCAGUAGAUCAUAUCUUUUCUAUAAGUAUAUUCAGUUGCAUCUUCUAAUUUUGUUUAUGCAUGCUUACAAAUUUAUAUUAAAAUAUUUACACAAUUUAAUUCUUAUUAUUUUUCGUUUAUGGACUUUUUUUUUUUGGCUGUAAUAUUGUUUUUCCAAAUAUUCAUGCAUUAAGCAUUGUUCUUUUCAGCAUUGUUUACCAUUGACCAGUGCUUUGGAAACUUGAAGCAAAAGUUUCUUCAAUUUGGUUUGGAUUAUUAAAACACAGGAAUAGCCUGGUUUGCUUUGGUUACUUUCUUUGUCAGGUUUAUAAAGCUAUCUAAUCCUGUGGGGUAUUUUACACUUUAUGAAUUUGUUGAAGUGACAGACUGAUGACAAUUGAACCCAAGCAACUCAUCGGUACUUGUAAUUAUGGUGGAAUUCCUGAGUUUGUGGUUAUGAAAACUCCAUUAUUAAGCUUUUACGAAGACAACUUCCACAGCUGCAGAGGAGAAGAGAAGCACCAGUGGUCUAGUGGUAGAAUAGCACCCUGCCACGGGGUUCGAUUCCCGGCUGGUGCAUGUAUUUUUGUGGCCUUUUUGCCUUUUGGGGCAUUUGUCAGAAAAUACUAUCUCCACGCGCCUUCGUAAGUCACCAGCUUUUUUAAUUCAUAAAACUCUUGGACUGUCUCCAGAUCCAUAUCUUGUGGAUGUGGUCCAGCCAUCCAGACAAAUCGCAUCUUCGACGCACUUCUUAAUUCCUACCAGUAACCGCCCUUGAGCCUUCCCAUCCAAUUCCAACGAGCUGCCAGCUUAUAAUAACAACAACUUGCUCGGUCAAAGGACGAAAGGACAAACUGUGUCAUUAUUUGUUUUCGGUCAUUUCAAUGUGUGAACACUCACUGACUCACAUCAGAAAGACCAAUAAAUAUCCAUGAAAAUGGGACAUGGCUGCGGCGCAGAAGCUGCAAGUAACAGCUUCAAACCUUCCCAUUUCCAUCACCUUGCAUUGGGACCUCUUUCUCUCUCCUCUGGCACCCGUAGAAGUUCCCCAUUGGCUGCUGUUACUGACAGAAGCCGUAACAUAAUUGAUUCCGAGCUGCCCAUUUCGUACCCCUCUAACAGUCAAACGUUCACAUUAGUGGCGUAGUUCACAUCCCCUACAUUCAUCUGGAUCUAAUUAUAAAUACACACCCCACGAAGCAAAAGACAUUUCAUUUCAGUUGCGAGAGCAGAGCUUAGAGAGAAAAAAAAAGAAAAUGGCAAAAAGUGACGUGAAGGUUUUGGGUUUUUCGCCAAGCCCAUUUGUGAUGAGGGCAAGAAUCGCACUUAAGAUCAAGUCUGUGGAGUAUGAGUUUCUGGAGGAGAAUUUGGGAUCCAAAAGCGAGCUUCUGCUUAAAUCAAACCCUGUUCACAAGAAAAUCCCAGUUCUGAUUCACAAUGAUAAGCCUGUUUGCGAAUCUCUCAUUAUUGUCGAGUACGUGGAUGAGGCUUGGUCCUCUUCAGGUCCCUCUAUUCUUCCUUCUGAUCCUUAUGACCGUGCAGUUGCUCGUUUCUGGGCCGCUUACGUUGAUGAGAAGGUAUAUUUUCCUUUCUUUGUUUUGAAAAAAAUGUUUUAAGUCAAUGCUUUUUAUUCGAAUUAUGUGCAUCUAAAAUUUUUUAAUCUUUUUCAGUUUUGAAAACUGUUUUCGGAAAUUAAUAGAGUCUCUCUUGGUAAAUCAAGGAGGUAAAGCGCGUGAUUGGAAUUAUUUCCGGUGGAAAAAUGAACUUGAAAAGAAAACUAAAGAAAGAUUAAGAAAGCAGAGCCCAAAAGGAAAACAAUCAACACAAUCUAGAAGUAAAUCUGUAGAAGUGACGUAUACUCACAUAUCUAAGGAAACAAAUAUAUAUGAAUCUUAAGAGAUGAUACUGAUAGAGAUUAGAGAGAGAGCAAGAACGAAUCUUCAACUUGACAAAAAGCAUAUAAGAAUCAAUUGGCAGGUAGUGAUUGAAAUCUGGCCUUGAUUGAUCAAAUUAUGAUAUAUCUAUUAUGAUUUGCAGUGGUUCUCUGCCUUGAGAGACAUUGGUAGUGCAAAUGGAGCGGAAGCUAAGAAAGCUGCGAUUGAGCAAUUGAUUGAAGUCUUGGUUUUGCUGGAGGAUGCUUUUGUUAAGUGCAGCAAAGGGAAGC
rnacentral:lncRNA from 1 species